rnacentral:rRNA from 1 species
AUUGAACGCUGGCGGCGUGCCUAAUACAUGCAAGUCGAACGAGUGGCGGACGGGUGAGUAGUGGCUUGGCAACUGCCCGAUGUAGCUGGCUGAGUGCUGGAAACGGUAGCUAAUACCGCAUAACGCCGUUUCUGCCCUGAUGGAAUUAGCUAGUAGGUGGGGUAAAGGCUCACCAAGGCGACGAUCCCUAGCUGGUCUGAGAGGGUGACCGGCCACACUGGAACUGAGACACGGCCCAGACUCCUACGGGAGGCAGCAGUGGGGAAUAUUGCACAAUGGGCGAAAGCCUGAUGCAGCCAGGCCGCGUGGAUGAAGAAGGUCUUCGGGUUGUAAAGUACUUUCAGCAGGGAGGCGGUACCCAAAGAGGAAGCAACGGCUAACUACGUGCCAGCAGCCGCGGUAAUAC